ensembl:lncRNA
AUGGACCAGGCUUUUUAUCCACUGUAUGCUCAGGGUGGUAAUGAUGGACGCCCUUGUGCAUACCAGCCCGGGAGCAUCCAGCUCCAUGCUCCAUUUCCCCAGGUCCAGAAUCAGCACAACCAGCCUGUGGUCAUUGUUCAACCCUCUGCGAACAUGAGGCAAAAUCCACCGGCCGAGCCUGUGCCGGAUUACAUGUGUUACUCCAGAUUUACCACACUGUGCUGCUGUAUCUGCCUGGGACUUUGUGCUCUUUAUUACUCUAAAGAAACUCGCUCUGCUAAUGCUGCUGGACAGAGAGGAGAAGCCGCGAGAAACUCUCAAACUGCACUCAUCCUGAACCAUAUCUCUGUUGUUGUGGGAAUCAUCCUGAUUGGAGUAUAUCUCUUCAACGAAUUUUACCUAUCAGAUCAAAAAUUUCAUCUAUAAUUAUCUUUCCUAAGUUACAACCCAUCUACUUUUUAGGCAAAUUUGGUGUUGUGUACUCCCAUGCAAUGUUUUAAUAAUUUUGUUCAGUUUGCAGAUCUGAAUAGUUUCAUCAUUGCAUUAAAUAUUGUUCUAUGUUUAUAUGUGGAAAUUUUUUAUCUUUCAAUCUUUUUUAAACUGGAAUAAUUGGGAUUUUUAACAAACAUGUUUUAAUAGACAAAUUAAAUCAAGUUAAGAAUAGAGAAACUUUUUUUUUCAGUGUACAUUUUUCAUCCUCAUUUUCUCUGAUGACUCAAAAAUCUACGCUUGACCUGAGAUUUUGUGAAUAACAAAGUCCAUUUACAAUUUAAAUAGAAACAAACUUUGUUUUUGAUCCUUGCAAAGAGCUAGAAACAAAUGAAUCAGUUGACUUAUGAUUUUGAAAUAGCCCCAAAAAAGUGUAAAUAAAUAAAUAGUAUGAAUUAUUUGUUUAUUAAAA